rnacentral:rRNA from 1 species
UACGGAGGGAGCUAGCGUUGUUCGGAAUUACUGGGCGUAAAGCGCACGUAGGCGGCUUUUUAAGUCAGAGGUGAAAUCCCGGGGCUCAACCCCGGAACUGCCCUUGAAACUGGAGAGCUAGAAUCUUGGAGAGGCGAGUGGAAUUCCGAGUGUAGAGGUGAAAUUCGUAGAUAUUCGGAAGAACACCAGUGGCGAAGGCGACUCGCUGGACAAGUAUUGACGCUGAGGUGCGAAAGCGUGGGGAGCAAACAGG